GACGAACGCUGGCGGCGUGCUUAACACAUGCAAGUCGAACGAAGAGCGAUGGAAGCUUGCUUCUCUCAAUCUUAGUGGCGAACGGGUGAGUAACGCGUAAUCAACCUGCCCUUCAGAGGGGGACAACAGUUGGAAACGACUGCUAAUACCGCAUACGAUCUAAUCUCGGCAUCGAGGAUAGAUGAAAGGUGGCCUCUACAUGUAAGCUAUCACUGAAGGAGGGGAUUGCGUCUGAUUAGCUAGUUGGAGGGGUAACGGCCCACCAAGGCGAUGAUCAGUAGCCGGUCUGAGAGGAUGUACGGCCACAUUGGGACUGAGACACGGCCCAGACUCCUACGGGAGGCAGCAGUGGGGAAUCUUCCGCAAUGGACGAAAGUCUGACGGAGCAACGCCGCGUGAGUGAUGACGGCCUUCGGGUUGUAAAGCUCUGUUAAUCGGGACGAAAGGCCUUCUUGCGAAUAGUGAGAAGGAUUGACGGUACCGGAAUAGAAAGCCACGGCUAACUACGUG
rnacentral:rRNA from 1 species